rnacentral:rRNA from 1 species
UUCCGGUUGAUCCUGCCGGAGGUCACUGCUAUUGGGAUUCGACUAAGCCAUGCGAGUCGAGAGGGUUCGGCCCUCGGCUGACGGCUCAGUAACACGUGGAUAAUCUGCCCUAUGGUGGAGGAUAACCUCGGGAAACUGAGAAUAAUACUCCAUAGGUCUAGGAUGCUGGAAUGCACCUAGGCUCAAAACUCCGGUGCCAUAGGAUGAGUCUGCGGACUAUCAGGUUGUAGUCAGGGUAAAGACCUGACUAGCCUACGACGGAUAUGGGUUGUGAGAGCAAUAACCCAGAGAUGAUAUCUGAGACACGAUAUCAGGCCCUACGGGGCGCAGCAGGCGCGAAAACUUCACAAUGUGCGAAAGCGCGAUGAGGGAAUCCCAAGUGCUUGCACGUAAGUGUAAGCUGUUUUUAUGUUUAAAACGCAUGGAGAGUAAGAGCUGGGUAAGACGGGUGCCAGCCGCCGCGGUAAUACCUGCAGCUCAAGUGGUGGCCACUAUUAUUGGGCCUAAAACGUCCGUAGCCUGUUUAAUAAAUGCCUGGGUAAAUCGUGUAGCUUAACUAUACGAAUUCCGGGUAGACUGUUAAACUUGAGACCGGGAGAAGUUAGAGGUACUCCUGGGGUAGAGGUGAAAUUCUGUAAUCCUAGGGGGACCACCGGUGGCGAAGGCGUCUAACUAGAACGGGUCUGACGGUGAGGGACGAAGCCCUGGGGCGCAAACCGGAUUAGAUACCCGGGUAGUCCAGGGUGUAAACGCUGCUUGCUUGAUGUUAGUCGGGCUCCGAGCCCGAUUAGUGUCGGAGAGAAGUUGUUAAGCAAGCUGCCUGGGAAGUACGGUCGCAAGGCUGAACUUAAAGGAAUUGGCGGGGGAGCACAGCAACGGGUGGAGCGUGCGGUUUAAUUGGAGUCACGCCGG